AAAUACCACCAUUUUUAUUUCUUUCACUUUAUUCCUCCCAGGCCAUUUUGUUUUCUUCUUCUUGUUUGCUGCGCACAUGUGAAGGCUCCACAUGGAAGAAAAUUGGCAUUACAUGCAAUUUAGCACAAGGAUUUUUGCCAAUCAUGCAUCUAUCUAUAUAUAUACAUCUGCAAUUCAAUGGCUGCUCCCUCUUCCAAACAUUCUCCUAAGACUAAUCCUCUUCCUUCCCACUUCACAACCUUUUACUAAAACGUUAGUUGGAUCACUUCAAUUACGGGCAUCAAAGCUACGCCACCUUCAAACAGAGAUACAUAGUAAGCUCCGGGGGCCGCGCCUAAUCCAACUUCCCUAUCCUCGCCUAGCUGGGCACUGAAUCUCCCAACAACUUUGAUCCUCAUAGCGUCGGAUUUCUCACCAAUAAUGCCCCUCGUUUUAAGGCUCUUCUUGUCUACAUAGAGCAUAGGUAUUACCGGGAAUCAAUACCAUUCGGGAACAUGGAAGAAGCUCUGAGAAACGAGACCAUUCGUGGCUCUUUCAAUUCUGCUCAAACUUUGGCUGAUUAUGCACAAGUGUUGUUCAGCAUAGCUUUUCUUUCUAAAAUUCCAAAACCAUCCAGAAAAGAGAAAAGAAAAUAAUUGUAAGGACAAAGAAUGAGUGUUAGUUCACGUGAGAGUAAAAACCAAUAAUGUCAAGAUUCUCCACUUUCCUCCACUUUCUUUCUUUCUUUCUUGUGAGAUCGAGUGUGAUACACACUCAAACACCACCAUUUUUAUUUCUUUCACUUUAUUCCUCCCAGGCCAUUUUGUUUUCUUCGAUCUUCUUGUUUGCGCACAUGUGAAGGCUCCACAUGGCCGGAACGAAGAAAAUUUGGGAUUGAAUUGGCUGUUUGGGUUGGAAGGGUCAAGGUAUUCUCGUUUCUCCUCCAGAUAGCACUAUAUUUAACGCUGUCCACCGCGGUACCGUCUGAUCUGCAGUGCCACAAUACAAUCUGCAGUGCCGGAAAUUGUUACUGCCUGCCAUCAAGGUUUAAUUGCAAGGUGUAAGUCCAUGUUAAUUUUAAUUAUAUAUUGCAAUAGUACAGUAUUGUAAAAAAUCAAUGUACAACAUUUUAAAAAUGAACUAAUAUUAUAUUGAAAAUGAAUAUAA